GGGCCCGCACAAGCGGUGGAGUAUGUGGUUUAAUUCGAUGCAACGCGAAGAACCUUACCAGGGUUUGACAUCCUGCGAAUCUCUUGGAAACAGGAGAGUGCCUUCGGGAACGCAGUGACAGGUGGUGCAUGGCUGUCGUCAGCUCGUGUCGUGAGAUGUUGGGUUAAGUCCCGUAACGAGCGCAACCCUUAUCCUUAGUUGCCAGCACAUAAUGGUGGGGACUCUAGGGAGACUGCCGGUGUCAAACCGGAGGAAGGCGGGGACGACGUCAAGUCAUCAUGGUCCUUACGCCCAGGGCCACAAACGUGCUACAAUGGUCGGUACAAUGAGCAGCAAAGCCGUGAGGUGGAGCAAAUCUCAAAAAGCCGGCCCCAGUUCGGAUUGAAGGCUGCAAUUCGCCUUCAUGAAGUCGGAAUCGCUAGUAAUCGC
rnacentral:rRNA from 1 species